rnacentral:lncRNA from 1 species
GAGCACUGGACUACGGGACUAGGGAUAGGGUUUUGUGGAGGUUGAAGACUUCGGUUCUAUUUUACUCUCAGUUGAAUUGACAGUCAACAGAAUCACUUGAUAUUUUUCCACAAUUGGUGAGUUCAUUUUCCAAUUUCUCCCCUAUAUUGUCAAUUUUGUGAACCAUGUUCAUUUCUAAUUCUUUUAUAAGAAACAUGUUUCGGAUAAUAUAUAGGCAUCAGGAUGAUUCAAAUUCAUUCAAUUCACUGUUUAAAUCUAGAUGCAGACUUUUUUCAUCUGUUAGUUCCAAAGAUUUUCCUAUUGGGUUGUCUCGGGAAACUAGUGUUGGGAAAUAUUCUGAGAAAAAAGUGGAAAAAGUAAAGACCUUAUUCAGGAAUCAUGGAUUUGACGAAUCCCAUAUUUCGCAUAUUGCUCGAAUACAACCUAAGGUGUUUUUGUACGAUCCCCAGAAUACCCUUUUGCCCAAACUCAAUUUCCUGCGCUCUAUAGGUGUUUCGAAUACUGAUAUUCCGAAAGUCAUUAUGCGGAACCCGGCCCUUAUGGGGAGAAGUCUAGAAAAGCAGAUUUGGCCUUGUUAUAAUUUUCUGAAAAGUUUGCCCCUUUCAGGGAAAGAGGUUGUUAUGAUGGUGAAUAGAAAUUCUAGAAUCCUUGCAACUAAUGUAGAGAAAAUUUCUGGUAAUGUGGAGGCAAUGCAGCAAGCAGGGAUUCCCCCACACUCUAUCUCGUAUUUUGUAAGCCGGUUUCCUGCUUCAGUGCAGCGGGAUAACGAGAAAUUUAGGAAGUGUUUGGAUGAUGUGAUAGGUAUGGGGUUUAACCCUUUGAGGUUGAUGUUUAUUCUAGCAGUUCGAGUGCUGUGCGAGACCCCUAAACCAACAUGGGAUUACAAAGUCAAGGUGUUUAAGAGGUUCGGCUUGUCAGAUGAAGAGGUUAUGUCAGCAUUUAGAUUGCAUCCCUGUUGUAUGAACGUAUCCGAGGAGAAAGUGUUAAAGGUGAUGGAUUUCUUUAUAAAUAAGAUGAAAUGGGAACCUGCAGUUGUUAUUCGAACUCCAGCGGUUCUUCUUUAUAAUCUGGAGAAGAGGAUCAUCCCCAGGUGUAAUGUGAUUACUCUUUUGAUGCAAAAGGGCCUCCUGAAGGCAAAUUUUCCUUUAAUGUCUUUCUUGAAGAAUAGUGAAAUUGAUUUCUUGGAUAAAUUUGUUUACAAAUAUAAGGACAAUUUGACUCAAUUGAUGGAUGUUUAUCGUCAAGGGAUGGCUUUGUAGCAAUGGAAUUGUCCUGAUUCUAGAGAUGCCUGAUUUUCAAGUUUUUUUUUCCGUGUCCAUCAUUUAUCCGUUCACAAGUAAUUUGUUGCACUUCUCUUCACAUUGAAAACAUGGGAUGUCCAACGACCUUUUUGUUCAUGAGUGGGAUUUCAGCAGCCUAAUAUCGACAGAAUUACAUCCUUUUUUUCUUAUAGUUUGGAGAAGAUGGUCAUAACAAUGUGCUCGAGUUAUCUAACUUUCAACUAAAAGUUUGGGAAAAAAGCUACCUUCUUAACCGCAUUGAUUUUCGCUAAGCAUGACUUAGCUUUUCUUACACCAACUUCAAGCACAUGUAGAGGAUCUAUUAAGGAAAAAGUUCAUUCAGUGGGAAGUUGGCUCGUACUCUACUAGGGUUCAUACAUUGAUCAUCAUAUGAUAAAAUGGGUUCUAUGAAUCUGUGAUUCAUAUUAGAUGACUGAUUUUUAUCUCCUUAGCUAAUUGUUUCGCAGAGGACAAUGUUUUGCUGCUUUGGUAUUGGAAGGAAGAGAAGCGCUGAUCCUCCCUAGAGAAAUGUACUUGAAAUUUUAAGUUUAUUUAGUUAUUUCUGUCCAGUAUCAAAUAAAUUGGUUUUUCUUCGUAGUGAUCGCAUCAGUCCCAAAUAUGAUCAUGUUUGUUCAUGAAAAACAAGGAUUGUAUUUUUGGUUAAUCCUCAUCUUUCAUAUAUUUGCAACUAAAAUUUUCUCUUUUAAGUGAUGAUACGUUUUUAACAGAAUUCCUGUUAUAUAGACGUCUUAUUAAGACAGCCUAGUGUGCAUGGAAUAUCCGACAAUUACUAGUGGUCGAGAAGAUGACUGUACAUUGUUUUCAGGCUCUACACUGUUCUUCUGGCAUGGUAAUAUGGUACUCACCGUCACUGUAAGUUAUUGCUGCUGCAAAUUUUUUAGGUUUAUUUCUUGUUGCUGCAGCGUUAAUUUGUCAAUGUAGGACUGUAGUUUAUUUACGCAAGUGGUUACGUUAGCAUGAUUCGUACCAGGAUUGUUUCAGGGUUCAACUGUGUUGCAAUAAUGUUGUUAUUAUUGGUAUAUAAGUGAAUGUUUGGUACGACCCGAUGGACACGACCAGCGCGAGUUUGGUAGGUACUGAUGGUCAAAUGUGUUGGAUAAUAAACCGUAUUUUAGUUUCUUUUUCUGCCUUAAUAGUGUUCGAUACUAUAUAAUCCUUCUUAACAGCAUUGAAUCAAUUCUGAUUCCGCAGAGUAUUUUACGAGAUUGAGAAGUGUUGUACGCACUACCAAAACUCGCUAUUCAUAUUGGAGGAAAACUUGGUUCACGCAAACACGAUGACAUUUUUCUGUGUUGCAAAUUUACAAUGUUAUAUAAACUUGUAGGUAACAAUUGGGACUCGAGGCCCGAGGGUGAAGUUAUUUUACUUAUGACUUUGAAAUUUUACAUUUAAGAAUGCGUUUAUUAAAAUAGUACUUUGUUAAUAUAAUCGUAUGACUUGAGUACUUCUGUACCUGGACAAUUCAAAC